rnacentral:lncRNA from 1 species
AUGAGGGACCCAAUGUCUAGAGAUCCCGUUAUUCGAGAUGUAGCAAAAUCAAUUGCGAAGAGUCGUGCUCAAUCCAGAGGAAGCUCAUCAAAUGAGUAUGCUCUGUUCUUCAUCGGUGAUGAAUCUGUUGUAAGACCAUUCUAUUCCUACUGCAUAAAUAAAUUUAAUUUGUACCUAUCCCUUAAUUAAGAUUACCGAUACCAAUAUAAAGACUUAUUUCUAAUAAUCGUUUAAAUGUCAGGUAAAUCAUGACAACUUCAUUUUAUUAAAACAGAAUUUUACUGUCUUCCUUGGUGCAUGAAAUGAGGGAGGAGGAAGGUUAACACAUUUAUGGUUCUCAGUGUUUCGAUAGAUUAGUCCAAAAUAAUCAAUUUAUUUUCCAUUUAAUCAUAAUGUUUUUUGUUUCUUUGUUUCUUUUUUUGCCCAGAUCAGAUGCCACAGUGCCUGCUGUCACCAAAUGUUGCUUUUUAAGACUUUCUUGUUGUUUUAUUCAGAUGAAGUGCACCUUGGUUUUUGGUUUUCUCCUAGUUUUUUUUUUUUUUUAAAGAGCAUCAGCUACUCUAAAAUAUCUCAUCGUACCAAGUUUGCUUUAUUUGAGGCAAUUGUCCAUUUCAUACAAUCUUAGUACCUACCAAUAUGAAUAAUUUCAUUAAAAAUAAACAUUUUUUUUUUUUUUUUUUUUUUUUAAAGAGUUUUAUUUAUGUAACUUCCAAUUAGAGGAAACAUAUACAAUUAUCAUAAGCUAGAAAUAAUGUAUGGUAAAGCAACGACUGCUUAAUUGCUUAUUAUCAUAAAAUUAAAGAAACUAAACCUAGGACUUAAUUAAGAUUAAAAGGACAUUCAUAAAAAUCAAAUGGGUGAGAUGAGUGAAGAUCUGAUGUAAGAUGAGAAAUAAGUUAUGCAAGUUGUUUAAAAAUCGGAAUCAGCAUUUGUGACAAGCUCCCAAGGCUUUUUCCUCUUAAGUCUCCUAAUUUCUUUAAUAUUAUUUAAGAGUUCAAUUGCAGUUUCGUUUGGAUGACGAUGUAGCCUGUCUUCGUAUCUUUGCGAAAUUUUUUGAAUAUAUUUAUAUAUAGAUUCUAUCCCUAAGUCUCUAUGGAUGUCCUUAUUAGUCUCAUACCUUUGGGCACCACACAAUUUCCUUAAUAUUUUAGACUGCAUUGAUUGCAAUGAUUUUAAACUAGUUUUGGGGGCACAGCCCCAAAAAAAAAAUAAACAUAACAUUAAACAAUUUUCAGUGAAAAAAGUGUAUGCCUAUUAAUGCGCUGAUGUAAAUUUUGUUAAUGCCACCUACUCAUUUAUUUAUUUAUUUUUCAAGGGUAAAUCAUCUAUGAUACUUCAAUUUUUGAUAAAAAUGAAGUACCGAAACCAACCUUAGCACUGGAGUAUGUAUUUUUCAGAAAAUCCAGCAAAAGUCUCGUAAGUGUCCCCAAGUCAUCUGUAAUUCUUAUUUUAAAUUUUCUACAGUUACUGACUAAAUACAGUUUAUCAAUCAGGAAUCUUCUUGAAAGAGGAUGUAUUUGAGCCCUGCAAAAUUAAAAAAAAAAAAAAAAUCAUUUGAUCUCUUUGACAAUUCUGAGGCGGCUUUUGUCACUGACUACGUUACAUCUUUACGGAUUGGAUACCAUUGAUUCGGAAAUAGCAAGGGACUCUAGCGCUAGCCUUAGCAAACAGUUAAGAAGAGGCAAUUGAUGCUGAAAGGCUGAACCCCUGAUAUACCCAUUCAAAUCCUACCGUGAUGAGAAACCUCAUGCACAGUUUUCGCAACAUCUGAUGGGACUUAAGAUAUUCUGCACUUCCGUUCCUUUUAUUCUUUGAAAUGCUUACAAGUUUUCCGUCAAGACCUCGGAAUUGGAUUUUUU